UACGUAGGUGACAAGCGUUUGUCCGGAUUUACUGGGCGUAAAGAGCGCGCAGGCGGUCGAUCAAGUCGAGUGUGAAAGCCCCCGGCUCAACUGGGGAGGGUCAUUCGAUACUGAUCGACUCGAAGGCAGGAGAGGGUAGUGGAAUUCCCGGUGUAGUGGUGAAAUGCGUAGAUAUCGGGAGGAACACCAGUGGCGAAGGCGACUACCUGGCCUGUUCUUGACGCUGAGGCGCGAAAGCCAGGGGAGCAAACGGG
rnacentral:rRNA from 1 species